UUCAAUCUCGGAUAUUCUUUAACUAAAAAAAACAAAAAUGUAACAGAAGAUUCCUAAGGCUUAUAAUAUUAUUAGUCAGAAUCAGAACCUGAAGAUAGAAUCUGGACAGCAUCUUUAGGUUCGUUAUCAGUGAUCGAAGCAGGAGCCUCUUCACCCUUUGCAUUCCUCCUCUUUCUCUCUUUCUUCUUCUCCUCCUCCGUCUGUAAACAAUCAUCAAUCUUUCUUUAUUAGGUUUAUGUCGAAAACGAGGCAUAUAUACACAUACAUUUAUAUAAAUCUAAUCAUUUUAUUACGUUAUUGUCUGACUGAUUCGUCGAUGAUUGCUGAGUUGUCUGAACGGGUUGUUGAGUUGCUCGGCUUCUCGUCAACCAAACACUGCCUGCAGAUAACAAAGCUCCUAGAAGCAAUGUAGGUCCCAUUCUUGGGUCUGCUAGGUAAUCUUUGAUUCUGUUCCAUAAGCGCAAGAGUGCUUGUGUUGCUUUCACGCUUUUCGGGACUCCUGACCUCAUCGGUUCAGCACUUUCUGGAACAAGUUCUGGAGUUUUCGCUCUCUGCAAGUGAAAGUGAAAGAUCAAAAGAGAUAUGUUAUAAAGGAACAUGUAAAGAAUGGCAAAACAGUGGUUACUCACAUAGAAUGGUAGGUUUUUGCUGUCGCCAUCUUCAACCAUUUUAGAUAGCCACUUUAUAAUCUACAAAAGGUUAAACCAGGAAUGUAAACAAAAAGUCUAUACCAGAAACUAAUAAGAGUUUUUAUAGUAUUGUACCUCGGGAGUUUCAGCUGGUCCGUCAUAACUAACGACAAGUUGUGCAGCGGGAUCUACAUCGUCAGCUUCAGAUUCCCAAACAGUUUUGGGCCAGUUACUUGAUUUCUUAAAAAAAACAAAAAUGUAACAGAAGAUUCCUAAGGCUUAUAAUAUUAUUAGUCAGAAUCAGAACCUGAAGAUAGAAUCUGGACAGCAUCUUUAGGUUCGUUAUCAGUGAUCGAAGCAGGAGCCUCUUCACCCUUUGCAUUCCUCCUUCGUUGUUCUCUCUUUCUCUCUUUCUUCUUCUCCUCCUCCUCCG
rnacentral:lncRNA from 1 species